AUGAUGACACAAACCCUGCAAGGGAUCCAGCAGCAGUAUGCACCAAGUGGCUUUACUGUCCAGAAACCUCGCACACAGACUGCAGCGCAAGUUCUUCAGCUGGAUAAUAUGGAUUCAGAUACUUCUCCAGUACGUCUCGUGAUCAAACAUAGAAUUGCAAACUACCUGCAAGGAAGGGGGGAUUUCUACAACUUGGACACACGUUAUCUUCUGGCAGUUUCAAAAAGUAUUGAUGAGCAGCUUUAUAAGGAUGCUGAAUCAAAGAUCCAAUACAUGGAUUUUGAAACUUUAGAAGUUAGGGUAAAUGCUCUUCUCAGUUGUGGAUCAUUUGGCAACAGUAUAUAUGCUUGGGCUUCUUCAGCAGCUUUACCGACAUCUUACCCAGGACAGCUUGGGAUAGAAGUACCAGAUUCAAGUAUACAGCAUGUGUUUUAUCCUCAGGGAUUUGCACCAACUAAUCAUCAUGAAGUUGCUGCCGACUUUGCUCAUUCUUCAGCUGAUAACAUUAAACGGAGUCCUGAAAGCUUAGCAAACACCACUGCUGCACCAUGUAUGUCAUCACUACCAAAAUACAGUUCCUGUCUUGCUGGAGAUUUCAGUGGUGGAGCGCCUACUGGCCAUACAGAAGACCAUUUCCCAGGUGAUGCUCAUCAAGUUGAUAGUCCACAACCAUCGACAUCUGGUAGUUCCAGUUCUGUGUCUGGAAUGUGUGACAGAACCGCAAAUUUUACAAAUAACAACAGAUAUUCCACUGGCCUAGUAUCAUCGUCUCUACAGUACAGAGAAUGCAAGGAAAUGUUAUAUACUUGGAGUCACCCAAUAGAGCAAUCAGAUCAGUCAAAUAUCACAGCUGGAGGCCAUGACUUGUACUCUGGUAAUUGUGUCACUGUAAGAGAGGUAGUGGGGAGAGCUGAACAGACAUCAAAUAGCACUGUAUCAAAGCCAAAUUCACCUGCUUCAGAUGAAUCUUCUGGCAAGCAUCAUCCGGCAAAACGAUUAAAGGUUAAUUACCCCUUUCCUGUCCAUGCCGAUGAAACAGAGUUUCCAAAGGAACAACAGCCUGCUGCCAAUGGGCCUCAUGCAUCUUCUGAAACAGUAAAGUCUGAAACCACAGUAUUAUCUAUGAAGUCGCCAUCUGGCUGUUCCUUGCAGGACAGCAAUGCUAGCAAUACCAUGGAGAAUUUUAGGUUGCAAGAGACUGCUGUGCAAGCUGACGAAGGGUUGUGUUAUGAAAAUGGUGACAUCGAGAUGAAGGACUCUAAGCUUAGCUCAGUGGAUCAAACAUCACUAGUAGCCAGCCUAACUACAAGGAAGAAAAGAGGGGGCUCAAUACUUUAUCCUUUAACUGCUGAGGAGCUUAGAGAUCACAUGAGAAGUCUGGGCCAGCAUAUUUUUCCGAACAAGGCGAUUACAGAAGAGGACCAGUCAGGCUUGCCUGACCAAAAUACAUGCAACUUAUGUGGGAUGGAGCGGCUUCUUUUUGAACCUCCUCCACGAUUCUGUGCUCUGUGUUUUAAAGUAAUAAAUUCGACGGGAUCCUAUUAUGUUCCUGUGGAAAAUGGAAGUGAUAAGACUUCAAUAUGUGCCAAAUGUCACCACCAUGUUAGUAAUGCAAAAGCUAAAUAUGAAAGGAGAUCCAAUUAUGCAGAAACAGAUGCCGAGUCUGAAUGGUGGGUUGCGUGUGAUAAAUGCAAAGCGUGGCAGCAUCAAAUAUGUGCCCUUUUUAACCCUAAGGUUAUGGAGGAGGGGGUGGAGUAUACAUGUGCGAAAUGUUUAUUGAAGGAGAAGGAUAGCGGAGAUAUAGAUUUGCUGGAGUCAUCUGCUGUUCUAGGAGCAUUAGAGUUACCAAGAACUAAACUGAGCAAUCAUAUCGAGCAGAGACUUUCAGUGCGGCUUGAGCAUGAGCGGCUGCAGAGGGCAAGGGCUUCAGGAAAAAGUGUUGAAGAGGUACCUGAAGUUGAAGGUCUUACUGUUAGAGUGGUUUCUUCUGCUGCAAGAGUACUUCAAGUCCUACCACGUUUUCGGGAUUUUUUUAAACAAGGAAACUACCCUGGUGAAUUUCCGUACAAAUCGAAGGCCAUUCUCUUGUUUCAAAAGAAUGAAGGCGUGGAUGUUUGUCUGUUUGCCAUGUAUGUACAAGAGUAUGGUUCUGCUAGCCCCUCACCAAAUCAAAGGCACGUUUAUCUUGCAUAUAUCGAUUCGGUCAAGUACUUCAGGCCUGAAAUCAAAUCUGCAAGUGGCGAAGCUCUCCGUACCUUUGUGUACCAUGAAAUUUUGAUUGGCUAUUUGGAUUACUGCAAGAAACAAGGGUUUGUAAGCUGCUCCAUAUGGGCUUGCCCAUCUACAAAGCGUGAUGAUUAUGUUUUGUAUUGUCAUCCCACGGCACAAAAAAUGCCGAGGUCUGACAAACUUCGGAGCUGGUACCAGAACUUGAUCAAGAAGGCUGUUAGGGAGGGUGUAGUUGUGGAGCGUAAUACGCUGUACGAUUUUUUUCUUCAGCCUACCAGUGAAUGCAAGGCCGUUACUUCUGCAGCAUGCUUGCCAUAUUGUGAGAAUGAUUUCUGGCCUGGGGAAGCAGAGAAACUCCUCGAGAAGAAAGACGACGACACCUCGCAGAAGAACGACAUACAAGCAGGAAGGGCCCUACGGGUUGCCAAACGUGAUGACAGGAAAGGGAACCCUGAGGAUAUCUUGUUAGUGCACAAACUUGGAGAAAAGAUGAGAACAAUGAAAGAAGACUUUAUUAUGCUUUGUCUGCAGCAGUUUUGCAAGCAUUGCCACCAACCUAUUUUAUCUGGUAAAAGUUGGAUGUGUACUUGCUGCAAAAACUUCCAUCUUUGUGACCAAUGCCAUGCAGAGGAGCUAAGUGCCCCACAAAAGAACAGGCAUCCAGCUGCAACAAAACAAAAGCAUGCCUUUCAAAGAAUAGAGGAAGAACCUCUCCCAGAGACUGAUGAUGGAGAUCCAACAAUGGAAAGCAAGUAUUUUGACAGCAGAACAGAUUUCUUGAAGCAUUGUCAAGACAAUCAGUACCAGUUUGAUACACUCCGACGGGCAAAACACUCAACAAUGAUGAUUCUUUAUAAUCUACAUGAUUCAGCUUGCUCUGCUUGUCACCGGGCAAUGGAUCAACGCUUUGCGUGGCGGUGCCUGGUUUGCGCGGGCUGCAAAUUUUGUGAUUCAUGCUAUAAACAAGACGGCGAAAAUUUGCACAUACAUAAACUCAAACAGGCGGACAAUCGGCAACUACUGCCAAACUACACUCUGCAGCAGGACUACCUUGAGAGCUUGGUGCAUGCAUCAAAAUGCUUCCACAAUCCGCAUAAUUGCAGUUUCAAACUGUGUGUUACAAUGAAGAAGUUGUUCUACCAUGGUGUACGAUGUGCUAUCCGGAACCAAGGAGGUUGCAGGAAUUGUGUCUUCAUGUGGGGACUUCUGCUCACUCACUCAAAACAGUGUGAUCACGGGGACUGCUCAGUUCCCAGAUGCAGGGAUCUAAAAGAAUUCAUGGGCAAGGCCAAAAUGGUUACUGCUGGACCCUGUGCCAUGGAAUGCUAG
rnacentral:rRNA from 1 species